rnacentral:rRNA from 1 species
ACGGUAUUUAAGGAGCUUGCUCCUUAAAUAUAGUGGCGGACGGGUGAGUAACACGUGGAUAACCUGCCUUAUACAAAGGGAUAACAACCAGAAAUGGUUGCUAAAACCUUAUAAGCUCACGUUGUGGCAUCACAGAGCGAGAAAAUAUUUAUAGGUAUAAGAGGGGUCCGCGUCUGAUUAGCUAGUUGGAGGGGUAACGGCCCACCAAGGCGACGAUCAGUAGCCGGCCUGAGAGGGCGAACGGCCACAUUGGGACUGAGACACGGCCCAAACUCCUACGGGAGGCAGCAGUGGGGAAUAUUGCGCAAUGGGGGAAACCCUGACGCAGCAACGCCGCGUGAAGGAUGAAGGUUUUCGGAUUGUAAACUUCUAUCGACGGGGAAGAAAAAAAUGACAGUACCCGAGUAAGAAGCACCGGCUAAAUACGUGCCAGCAGCCGCGGUAAUACGUAUGGUGCAAGCGUUAUCCGGAAUUACUGGGCGUAAAGGGUGAGUAGGCGGUCAAUUAAGUCAUAUGUGAAAAUCCAGGGCUCAACCCUGGACUUGCAUAAGAAACUGGUAGACUUGAGUGCAGGAGAGGUAAGCGGAAUUCCUAGUGUAGCGGUGAAAUGCGUAGAUAUUAGGAAGAACACCAGUGGCGAAG